ACCUGUUUGUUGCAGGAUUCAGUCGGCUGAGACAUCACUUUUGGGGAACAUUGAAGAAGAGAUCCAGUGUUGAAUUAGUCAUGUCUAAUGAAAUGCACUGAUAUAUGAUAAAUACCUAGCAUAUGGGCACACAACAAAUGCACCAUUCAUGCCCACUCUUUCCAGAAGGCACAUUGACAGUUCUCGUCUUUACUCACUGCCUGAACCUUUCCUUACCCUUUGACCAAACCUAACCACUUCUUACCUUUUUCUUUUGUUUUGCUUUGUUUUUCUGCAUCUCUAGGUAUUUGCCUCUGUUGCUCCCUUUGCCUGGAAGCUUACCUAGUCCCAUCCAUGCCUUUGGAAAUCACGCGAAAAUGCUUCGAGCUGGAUCCCACGUGUCAUCACCUCAACAAAAGCCUUUCCCUGAGCUGUUUAACCGACCGUGCUUCCUCAAAACAGUACCAUGAGAUCAUGACCUGAGCUGAGAUCAAGAGCUGGACGCUUAACCGACUGAGCUGCCCAGGUGCCCCAUAAAUCCAGUACUCUUAACCAGAUUAACCUUUCUGAACACAACGACCCAAGCAGACACUUCCAAUCAGUGGCGAUUGUCAAGGUAAUUGACACUUAUUUUCCUUCUU
rnacentral:lncRNA from 1 species